rnacentral:rRNA from 1 species
GACGAACGCUGGCGGCGUGCCUAAUACAUGCAAGUAGAACGCACAGUUUAUACCGUAGCUUGCUACACCAUAGACUGUGAGUUGCGAACGGGUGAGUAACGCGUAGGUAACCUGCCUGGUAGCGGGGGAUAACUAUUGGAAACGAUAGCUAAUACCGCAUAAUAUUGAUUAUUGCAUGAUAAUUGAUUGAAAGAUGCUAUUGCAUCACUACCAGAUGGACCUGCGUUGUAUUAGCUAGUAGGUGAGGUAACGGCUCACCUAGGCGACGAUACAUAGCCGACCUGAGAGGGUGAUCGGCCACACUGGGACUGAGACACGGCCCAGACUCCUACGGGAGGCAGCAGUAGGGAAUCUUCGGCAAUGGACGAAAGUCUGACCGAGCAACGCCGCGUGAGUGAAGAAGGUUUUCGGAUCGUAAAGCUCUGUUGUAAGAGAAGAACGGGUGUGAGAGUGGAAAGUUCACACUGGACG